UACGUAGGGUGCGAGCGUUGUCCGGAAUUACUGGGCGUAAAGAGCUCGUAGGUGGUUUGUCACGUCGUCUGUGAAAUUCCGGGGCUUAACCUCGGGCGUGCAGGCGAUACGGGCAAUACUUGAGUGCUGUAGGGGAGACUGGAAUUCCUGGUGUAGCGGUGAAAUGCGCAGAUAUCAGGAGGAACACCAAUGGCGAAGGCAGGUCUCUGGCCAGUUACUGACGCUCAUGCGCGAAAGCUGGGGUAGCGAACCGGAUUAGAUA
rnacentral:rRNA from 1 species